rnacentral:rRNA from 1 species
GGAUAACCUCGGGAAACUGAGGAUAAACCGCGAUAGGUCAUCACUUCUGGAAUGGGUAAUGACUUAAACCUAUAUGGCCCCUGGAUUGGACUGCGGCCGAUCAGGCUGUUGGUGAGGUAAUGGCCCACCAAACCUGUAACCGGUACGGGCUCUGAGAGGAGGAGCCCGGAGAUGGGCACUGAGACAAGGGCCCAGGCCCUAUGGGGCGCAGCAGGCGCGAAACCUCUGCAAUAGGCGAAAGCUUGACAGGGUUACUCUGAGUGAUUUCCGUUAAGGAGAUCUUUUGGCACCUCUAAAAAUGGUGCAGAAUAAGGGGUGGGCAAGUCUGGUGU